AGAGUUUGAUGGUGGCUCAGGAUGAACGCUGGCGGCGUGCUUAACACAUGCAAGUCGAGCGAAGCACUUUGCUUUGAUUUCUUCGGGAUGAAGAGCUUAGUGACUGAGCGGCGGACGGGUGAGUAACGCGUGGGUAACCUGCCUCAUACAGGGGGAUAACAGUUAGAAAUGACUGCUAAUACCGCAUAAGGCCACAGCACCGCAUGGUGCAGGGGUAAAAACUCCGGUGGUAUGAGAUGGACCCGCGUCUGAUUAGGUAGUUGGCGGGGUAACGGCCCACCAAGCCGACGAUCAGUAGCCGACCUGAGAGGGUGACCGGCCACAUUGGGACUGAGACACGGCCCAAACUCCUACGGGAGGCAGCAGUGGGGAAUAUUGCACAAUGGGGGAAACCCUGAUGCAGCGACGCCGCGUGAGCGAAGAAGUAUUUCGGUAUGUAAAGCUCUAUCAGCAGGGAAGAAAAUGACGGUACCUGACUAAGAAGCCCCGGCUAACUACGUGCCAGCAGCCGCGGUAAUACGUAGGGGGCAAGCGUUAUCCGGAUUUACUGGGUGUAAAGGGAGCGUAGACGGAGCAGCAAGUCUGAUGUGAAAACCCGGGGCUCAACCCCGGGACUGCAUUGGAAACUGUUGAUCUGGAGUGCCGGAGAGGUAAGCGGAAUUCCUAGUGUAGCGGUGAAAUGCGUAGAUAUUAGGAGGAACACCAGUGGCGAAGGCGGCUUACUGGACGGUAACUGACGUUGUGGCUCGAAAGCGUGGGGAGCAAACAGGAUUGGAUACCCUGGUAGUCCACGCCGUAAACGAUGACUACUAGGUGUCGGGUGGCAAAGCCAUUCGGUGCCGCAGCCAACGCAAUAAGUA
rnacentral:rRNA from 1 species